UACGUAGGGUGCGAGCGUUGUCCGGAAUUAUUGGGCGUAAAGGGCUCGUAGGCGGCCAACUAAGUCAGACGUGAAAUCCCUCGGCUUAACCGGGGAACUGCGUCUGAUACUGGAUGGCUUGAAUCCGGGAGAGGGAUGCGGAAUUCCAGGUGUAGCGGUGAAAUGCGUAGAUAUCUGGAGGAACACCGGUGGCGAAGGCGGCAUCCUGGACCGGCAUUGACGCUGAGGAGCGAAAGCCAGGGGAGCAAACGGG
rnacentral:rRNA from 1 species